UGGGGAAUCUUGCGCAAUGGGCGAAAGCCUGACGCAGCCAUGCCGCGUGAAUGAUGAAGGUCUUAGGAUUGUAAAAUUCUUUCACCGGGGACGAUAAUGACGGUACCCGGAGAAGAAGCCCCGGCUAACUUCGUGCCAGCAGCCGCGGUAAUACGAAGGGGGCUAGCGUUGCUCGGAAUUACUGGGCGUAAAGGGAGCGUAGGCGGACAUUUAAGUCAGGGGUGAAAUCCCGGGGCUCAACCUCGGAAUUGCCUUUGAUACUGGGUGUCUUGAGUGUGAGAGAGGUAUGUGGAACUCCGAGUGUAGAGGUGAAAUUCGUAGAUAUUCGGAAGAACACCAGUGGCGAAGGCGACAUACUGGCUCAUUACUGACGCUGAGGCUCGAAAGCGUGGGGAGCAAACAGGAUUAGAUACCCUGGUAGUCCACGCCGUAAACGAUGAUUGCUAGUUGUCGGGAUGCAUGCAUUUCGGUGACGCAGCUAACGCAUUAAGCAAUCCGCCUGGGGGGUACGGUCGCAAGAUUAAAACUUAAAUGAAUUACGGGGUCAUAGCUGUUUCCUG
rnacentral:rRNA from 1 species